UGAAGAUAAAUGAAAAGAGGGCGAACUAGAGAGGGAGGUAGAGGGAUAGAGGUAACGGAAAGAAAUAAUGCAAGGGAGGAGUGAGCAGAUGACAGAGAGAGGGAGGAUUCAGCUUGGGUUGGAAAGGUUGAGAUUCACAUAGCUCUUUGUAGGAGAGGUACUGUAUAGCGACUGGGGCUCCUGGGGAGAUGUCUCUCCAGCUCCAAAUCAGCACAUACACAGAGGAGUUCAGCUCACCUGGACAAGGCAAACCAACUCAACCGAGACCGUCCUCAGCCCACCGCAGAAAUAACCCCCACCCCAGACCGGACUUCCUGUUGCCCAGGAAACUGCAGAAUAGCCACAGGGCCUCCCGGUCAGUGUUCCAGGUUGCUACUGCUCCUGUAAACAACGGCCGUCCACUUUUCCCUCCUGUCCGGCACUUGUCUUUUCAGCAUAACUCAGAUGGCAAACGUGCACGCUCUCUCAGUGCUGUGGACACAGAGCCGCCACGCAUGCCACCCCUCAGCCCAUCCAGAACAACACAGCACAUGCUGCCACUUGCAGGCUGGCUACACAAACCACACAUGACUGACCCCUCCAUCAGAGACAUGCAACUCCAACCACUCCUAAAAAACAUACAAAGCAACAUGGAUUCCUCCAAGUCAUUACAACAGAGGCCAGCUUGCUACCUGACUGAUGUCCAGUGUUACCAGGGUGACCAUCCACACUCAUCACAGGGACUGAGGAGAAACUCAGGCAUUGAAAAUCGGAAUGGACUUCAAAAUGGCAGCCUCCCAGGCGUUAGGCACCUCCUACCACAGGCCCACUACCGGAGGUCUCGCUCCAAUACUACACUGGAUUCAUGGUACAGUACAUGCUCUUACAUCUCAGUACAUGUUCUCAGUAACACAUUGUUUUGAAUAGCCCACUACAGACUAUAUAAAGAUAUUGAACUAUCCACAGUUUCAAGUGUGAAGUGCAACACACAAUACUGUAGCCAAAUUUACAGUCGGGGUAUAUAGUGAAUGUAGUUCCAUGCCAUCAGUGGUGUAAAGUAAAAAAUACUUGAAAGUACUACUUAAGUAGUUUUUUUUGGUAUCUGUACUUUACUUUACUAUUUAUAUUUUUGACAACUUUUACUUUUACUUUACUACAUUCCUAAAGAAAAUAAUGUACUUUUCACUCCAUACAUUUUCCCUGACACCCAAAAGUAUUUGUUACAUUUUGAAAGCUUAGCAGGACAGGAAAAUUGUUAAAUUCACGCUCUUAUCAAAAUAACAUCCCUGGUCAUCCCUACUGCCUCUGAUCUAGUGGAAUCACUAAACACACAUGCUUAACUUGUGUCCCUGGCUAUCCAUAAAUAAAUAAAAAACAAGAAAAUGGUGCCGUCUGGCUUGCUUAAUAUAAGGAAUUUGUAAUUGUUUAUAAUUUUACUUUUGAUACUUAAGUAUAUUUAAAACCUAAUACUUUUAGACUUUUACUCAAGUAGUAUUUUACUAGGGGACUUGAGUAAUUUUCUAUUAAGGUACCUUUACUUUCACUCAAGUAUGACAUUUGGGUGCUUUUUCCACCACUGCAUGCCAUUGCAGCUACAGUCGACACAUAGUAUAUCAAAUGUAUAGUUUGUUUUUAUGUUACAGUGGUGGAUACAGCUGUUUCAACGUGGUGAAACCUUACCAGGCUGGAUACUACAUCAUUCAUCCAGAAUUUGUGUCUGAGUGCCUACGCUGAAAGUUUAACCACAUGUUCAAUGAACUGUACUGGAUUUAUUAGAGAUCUUCUGCGGUGUUUUGAUCUUGACAGCUGAUUAAUUUAAUGCAUUAUUCAUAACUCAUUUAUAAUGUAAAGUAACAAUGUAGAGUAAUGUUACCUGAAAUUCAAGUCAUUCAAAUGUAAAUAAAGGAAGC
rnacentral:lncRNA from 13 species